ensembl:lncRNA
GCCAACGUCAGAGAACAAAGGCAGGAGACAAACCACAAACGCCUACCAGCUACCAGCACUCUGCUCUUCAGUCAAAGAGCCAAACGACCCAGAAAAUGGGGUAUCUAGGAGGAGAUAUAACUGUCAAGAAUCAAACUCCAUAUGAAUGGACCAUCUGCUUAGAACGUCAAGCGUGGCCAUUUCCUAACAAAUAUGCAAAGCGUCACCUUGAAGCUUUUCAAACAAGAAGUAUAAGCUGGAGUGUUCCAGUGACCUGGGGAAAAACCUUCUACAUUAAGGUUAAGUAUGGAAGCUGUUCAGAGACACAGUGCUGCAAACAACCAGAUUUGUGGUACAAAUUAAAUCCAAAAGAUGAUCCUCUCUUCACUAUUCAAGAACGUGGAGAUGAAGUUCACCUGGACUGCAACAUAAAUUACGAGGAAAAGAAAUCUACAUGCCCAAAUUACGGCAAACUUGAAGAUGAUGCCCGACAGAGAGAGGUGGAGCGAAGACAGGAGAAAGCGAAUGAGGAACAGCGAUGGCAGGCACAGCGUGAGCUGGAAAGAAGAAUUGAAGAACAGAUUAAAAGAGAAAGUGAAAUAUCUGCUAAGAGGCUUUCUCAGGCCAAUGAGAAACUGAAGCAGAAAGAAAUCCUCAGAGGCCAGGAGUUCCACCAGCAAGCCCAUAUAAUACAACAGCCACUGGAGGUCUAUACAGUAGACAGAGACGAGGUUGCAGAAACAGAAAAUAAUUUUUUUGAACUUCUGCUAAGAUAUGAAAUCACUGAAAUCAAAGACACACAGGACUCAUUACCUGACAGAAUGAAACGCCUACAAAAUGAGAUAAUGGUUGACUACUGUAAGAAACACAACCUGUCCAGUAGCUGCAUGUUUUCCUUUGAUGCUGCCGUCGACUAUGACACUCUGCCUCUAAGUGACAGACUGUCAGUCCUGGAAGCAGUACUGCAAGUAGUUUUUGAGGAGACCGAGGAUGGCCAUGAACCUCAAUAUGACCGGGACAUCUUACUCAGUAUGCUUGAACAGCUGAUUGACACUCAUCAAACACUUGCAGGGAAACUUCUGCAGAACGUUCUUUAUACAGAUGUGCAGCUCUCCAUGCAGAGUAAAGAAAUUCUGUGUCAGAUCUUGUUCAACAACAUGUGGACACCAGGAGAAAUAACUGAUUUUAUGCGCAACAUCACUGGGAAAGCCACUGAACAAGUGUCCUCAGUUCUUCACACAGCACAGACCUACAAACUGGAGUAUGGCACUGUUUUCAAUGCUCUGGGUACAUCCAAUCCCCUCAACAUGUUGCAAAUCCAUGUGGACAAUGAGAG